UAUUACAUCAGAGGAUUUCACAGUGCGUUAUUGGAGCAGCCUUUUGGAGAUUGCCAACAUGUUGUGUAUUUUAAAUAUAAGUUGUAUUCUGUUCAAUGAGAAAAUUACGAAAAAGAUCCAACAACUUUUUGAGAAAAACAUCAACCGUACACCUCAAAGUAUAACUCCUAUUUCGGAAUAUGAAAAAAGGCACCUGGUUUGAAGUCCUCAAGGUCGAACAUAGGAACACAAAAAGUUGACAUCCACACCUCACACAUGUCACGUUUCACACCGGUUUCAAGGAUUUCCUGCAGAAUUCCCACCUAAUGUCCUCAACUGUCAGCCUAUUUUUGUGCUCAUAUUCCCUUAUCUGGGGGUCCGUUAUCUACGUGUAUAUAUGCCUGAGGACAAAGUAUAAAAAAACAACCCUAACUACUGCCAUUUCACUCAUACUUUCUCGGAGCUCUGAGUCCUUUUGCUGUCAUGUUUGUGUUCAAGUUCACUGUGGGUCUCCUGACUCUGAUGCUGGUGUCCUCUGCCUGGGUUGAGGAACUGACUGAG